rnacentral:lncRNA from 1 species
GGCAGGUAUUGUUAAUUAUGUAAAUAUUAUUGUGCUAAAUAUUGUAUUCUGUUUAUUUCCUUUUCAGAAACUCAGUACUGUGUUUUAAAGAUCUAUUCAUAAUGAUGUGCGUACAUCUGGUUCUUAGCUUCUACUUGUUGAAGAGUCUUCAUGGUGCGUGUAACCCCUUUCACCUAUCUACUCAGCCAGUGGACACCAAGUCUCUGCCAUGAUGACCAUUCUCAUACAGCUUCCCUCAUGGACUCACACACCUGCAGUGGAAUUGGUCUCACCUACCAAAUCAUAAUAAAUAUCUAUAUAUUUGGAGAUAGAGAUGAAAACCAUGUGGCUGUAUCCAGUUGGAGUGAAAAAUAUGAACUAUGAAGAAAGAAGGAGUUCUGCUUCUUCCAAAGGAGUGACUCCCAAAGGAACAAGAAUUGACCAUAGGUUAUGGCUUGUGUUACAACACACCGAUGUUGUCUUUGAGGCCAUCCACUGACGUCCUCACCCAUGGCAUAAGCAAGUAUUUCUGAAGGUAUUUUUGGAUAUUUACAAUGUUUGCAUAGUCUAAAACUCAGAACUAUUUUUAAACUAGAUUUAUUCUUUAGAGAAGUUUUAGGUUCACAGCAAAAUUGAUCAGAAAGUAUAGAGAAUUCUCAUACCUUCUGCCCCUACACAAGCAUAGCCUCCCAAACUAGCAACAUCCUGUACCAGAAUGGUGCAUUUGUUACAACCAAUUAACCCAAACUGAGAAAUCAUUAUCACCCAAAGUCCAUAGUUUAAAUUAGGGUUCACUCU